UCUAGGUUCGGUUGGACCGGACGAAUAGCCAUGCAGGUGGUAUGUUUAGACACAGACUCCCUUCGUGUUGUCAUUACCUUCCAGCACAGCGCGAGAAGAGAAGAACAUGUUGAGAUUUCUCUGUCUUGCCGUUUUCCUUCUAAUGCUCGUGGGAGUGUGUUUCGCAGACGACCAGAGUUGUCUCGUGACUACGUUGUUCCGAUCGGUGUCUACCUUGGAAGAGAAAGAAGGUGCGGAUUUGAUAAAGCCUAACGGUGUAGUACAUGUACUGUAUUCUAGGCUUACUUGCUUGCAUGCUUGGAAUGCGAUGCUGAAUGUGCGUGCAUGUACACCAUAAGUGCCGUGGCCGAGAAGGGUCACGGUUUUUUGCAAGGUCGGUUUUUUGCAAGGUCGGUUUUUGCACGCACGGUUUUUUGCACUGACAGUUUUUUGCAGUGACAAGCUACUGCCGUGAUACUGUGGCUGUUUGUAUUUACGUUGCUAGUGUAAAAAGAACUGCUCUAGCUGUUGU